rnacentral:rRNA from 1 species
GAUGAACGCUAGCUACAGGCUUAACACAUGCAAGUCGAGGGGCAGCAUUUCAGUUUGCUUGCAAACUGGAGAUGGCGACCGGCGCACGGGUGAGUAACACGUAUCCAACCUGCCGAUAACUCGGGGAUAGCCUUUCGAAAGAAAGAUUAAUACCCGAUGGUAUAAUCAGACCGCAUGGUCUUGUUAUUAAAGAAUUUCGGUUAUCGAUGGGGAUGCGUUCCAUUAGGCAGUUGGUGAGGUAACGGCUCACCAAACCUUCGAUGGAUAGGGGUUCUGAGAGGAAGGUCCCCCACAUUGGAACUGAGACACGGUCCAAACUCCUACGGGAGGCAGCAGUGAGGAAUAUUGGUCAAUGGGCGCAGGCCUGAACCAGCCAAGUAGCGUGAAGGAUGACUGCCCUAUGGGUUGUAAACUUCUUUUAUAUGGGAAUAAAGUUUUCCACGUGUGGAAUUUUGUAUGUACCAUAUGAAUAAGGAUCGGCUAACUCCGUGCCAACAGCCGCGGUAAUACGGAGGAUCCGAGCGUUAUCCGGAUUUAUUGGGUUUAAAGGGAGCGUAGGUGGACAGUUAAGUCAGUUGUGAAAGUUUGCGGCUCAACCGUAAAAUUGCAGUUGAUACUGGCUGUCUUGAGUACAGUAGAGGUGGGCGGAAUUCGUGGUGUAGCGGUGAAAUGCUUAGAUAUCACGAAGAACUCCGAUUGCGAAGGCAGCUCACUGGACUGCAACUGACACUGAUGCUCGAAAGUGUGGGUAUCAAACAGGAUUAGAUACCCUGGUAGUCCACACAGUAAACGAUGAAUACUCGCUGUUUGCGAUAUACAGUAAGCGGCCAAGCGAAAGCAUUAAGUAUUCCACCUGGGGAGUACGCCGGCAACGGUGAAACUCAAAGGAAUUGACGGGGGCCCGCACAAGCGGAGGAACAUGUGGUUUAAUUCGAUGAUACGCGAGGAACCUUACCCGGGCUUAAAUUGCAUUUGAAUAUAUUGGAAACAGUAUAGCCGUAAGGCAAAUGUGAAGGUGCUGCAUGGUUGUCGUCAGCUCGUGCCGUGAGGUGUCGGCUUAAGUGCCAUAACGAGCGCAACCCUUAUCUUUAGUUACUAACAGGCCAUGCUGAGGACUCUAGAGAGACUGCCGUCGUAAGAUGUGAGGAAGGUGGGGAUGACGUCAAAUCAGCACGGCCCUUACGUCCGGGGCUACACACGUGUUACAAUGGGGGGUACAGAAGGCAGCUACCUGGUGACAGGAUGCUAAUCCCAAAAGCCUCUCUCAGUUCGGAUCGAAGUCUGCAACCCGACUUCGUGAAGCUGGAUUCGCUAGUAAUCGCGCAUCAGCCAUGGCGCGGUGAAUACGUUCCCGGGCCU